rnacentral:rRNA from 1 species
AGCGAACGCUGGCGGCAGGCCUAACACAUGCAAGUCGAACGAUCCUUCGGGAUAGUGGCGGACGGGUGAGUAACACGUGGGAACGUGCCUUUUGGUUCGGAAUAACGCAGGGAAACUUGCGCUAAUACCGGAUGAGCCCUACGGGGGAAAGAUUUAUCGCCGAAAGAGCGGCCCGCGUUAGAUUAGCUAGUUGGUGGGGUAAAGGCCCACCAA